GAGAGCCAAGGGGCUGCGGGCACACGGUUUCCACGUGAACUGCCUCCUGAGUCUCAAAGGCAGAAACUCCCAACCGCAGGUUUCCUGAAGUUAUAUGUGACUUGUUUUGGCCCGUGAAACAAUCCAGGUGGAGGGAACAGUAAAACCUAGGAUCUGAAUGAGACAGGCAAACUGCUGGAAUAACAUUUCUCAUACCAAUGUCCAAGCAAGUUGAUCUAAGGCUAGAGCAUCUAGAGGGGCUCUAUGAGAAGCUGAAAUGACAAAGAACAAGUGAUUUAAAAACUUGAGAUUUAAUU